UCAUUUUCACGACACAGUCACCAUCUUCUAAACACAUCAGUGCUCUCCACUGCUGCAAACAUGAAGAUCCUCAUCUUGGUUGCUCUGAUCCUUCAGGUGAUCAUAGUACAAGAGACUGAUGGGUAUAAUUUUGGAGACAUAAUUGAGUUUCCGAGGACGUGUGGCCCCAUUACGUACAAGCACUAUGCUAUUUAUGUGGGCCCACAGAGCGGUGUAAACGUCGGCCAGGGUGAUA